rnacentral:lncRNA from 1 species
CUGAGAGGUUCAGUAGAUAGACACAGAGGAAAAGAAAAAGGAAAGACAGAAAGCACCUGCUCCCUAUUUAUUUCUUGGUACAUGUCUUGUUCUUUACUGCUUCUUCCUCUCAUUCAUCUAUUCUUUCCUUCCUCUUCUUCUGUGCUUUUACAGACUCAGGUGAGAGAUGGGAUGUGGAAAUUCCUCACAAGCCACCAACAGCAGCAGCAGCAGCACUGGAGGUCGUGUUGAGUCUUCAUCAAAGGUAUCAGAAGAGUCUGUGCCAGGAGAUGACAAAUGGCAGAACUAUGGAGGUGUGUAUGUGGGUUUUCCUGCAGACCUGAGCAACAUUCCUCAAGUACAGUUAGGAUCACUCAGAGAGCAUGAGAGAGACUUGUUGUCCCUCAGGAGGCCGCUGUGGGGGGACGGACUCUGAUUUUAAUGAAGAGCCAAGGUGCAACAGACGAAUGAUACAGAAGAAAGAAAGAAGAAGAAAGUGUUUGUCAUCAGGAACUUACCAAGUCUCGAAUGGGAAACAGCAGCACCCGGCGAGCUAAUCUUCUCUCCCAGCGUCCUCUGUGAGGACUUUAAUGGGAUCAGCUCCAUCUGGAUAAACUGGCUGUGGAGCCUGUUGUGUCAAACAAACUGGCUAAAGAUGUUUGUGAUUUUAUGGGAGCAGAUGUCAACCUGAACUCUUAAAAAACAGUGAUAGUUUGCAUUGCAGGUGCAGGUUUUUUAAUGGAAGCUGUGGUAGCUCUCCUUGUUGAGAGUAAGUACAGUAGUAUUAAUUUAAGCUCCGAAUAUCUUGUGCGAUUACAUGUAAAAUAUAUUGAAGGAAAGGUCCUGUGAUAUUCAGUCAAUAAAACCCAUAAAAAGACCAAAACCAACAACUGUCAGUGUGUAUCCAAGGCCUGAUUUAUCUUCUUCCUCUGUAUCAUAGAGCUCCAUUGUUGUCUAAAAACUAUUAAACACACAUCAGUGAGCCACACUGUUGCACUGGGUGACAAGUGCCUUCAUCACCAUGAACACAUAUACUGUAUUUAUUUUUUCCAAAUACUGGCUGCCACAAAUACCAAAUGUGGAUUAAUUUGCCGCUGAAAAUAGUACCCAACAAAUGCACUAUUUUCCUUCUUUGUUUGAUAAAAGUUAAAUGACCAGCUGGGUCAGAAAAAAACUAAAUAAAAAAAGGCUAAAUCAUGCCUUUUUUUAUUUAGUUUUUUAAAUAAAACUUUAUACUUGUGAACAGUUUUUUUAAAUAUUCAGUAGUGAAGUAGCUUGGAGCUGAGAUCUACA